rnacentral:lncRNA from 1 species
AAGUUCCGGGUCGAGUCCGCUACCGAUACCAAUAGUAUAUUUACCUGUUACCUAUUACCUUAUCUGUACGUUCCGCAUCUGACAGGCGCACCACCAAACGUUGUAUUCAGGACUAAUAUGCUAUAUACACGGGUCAUAACCACAGGGUUGACACUACUAAAUUGUCAAAUUGUUACCUAUUGUAGUAUUUUAAUCAGUAAGACUUUCUAAGAUAACAAUACGAAUACUAAAAAUCU